AAAAGACUGAGUCCUGACACUGGGUUCCUCUGCUCUCCCCAGGAGCUGGAGGUGCUCUCUUCCAGCAGACUCCCCACUGGGCCCAAGGAAAGCCUGUGACCUGGGGCAAAAUGGACGUCUCCUGGAUCCUUGAGUCACCACGUGGAGAAGAACUAUUGACCACUCUUGCUGGGCCUUACAGGUGCAAGAAAUAAACUUCUGCUUCUUACAAGGUUAAUUUAUUGCCAGAGCAUGGCAUGGCAUAGCUGUGGCAAAUACAACUGGGUAAGGACUUGGGCACCAAUUUAAAACUACAAUACAAGGGUAGGUCACAUUCAUAUAUUACUUUGCAGUUUAAAAGAGCUUUUGCUUAUUCUCAUUUGAUACUCACCUGUUCUAUGAACUAGGUAGGUCUAUCUGAAUAUUUUCAAAUGGACACCUUCUGACUGGCUUCAAAAGCAAUGAUAGAGAAAUCAAUAGAUUUCCUUUGUAGAAAACAAAAUGUAAAAGAAGACUUUUUAAAUCAUACUAUUAAAAGUUAAUAUAGACAUACAGACAAACUUACUAGGAGCAAGCAGGACCUACUGAGAAAGCUAUGAACUCGACUGAGGGAAAUAAAAUUUUAACAAAUACUGAGUUCUUGAUUAGGAAGAUUCAGUAUCACAAAUAUAAAAACUCUUCCAAAUUAACAUAUAAAUGUAACAUACUUUGAAUCAAAACCCUCAGAUGACUUUUUGAGAGGCUUGAUAGUAUGAAUACGAAGUUUUUCUUGGAAAAUGAAGAGGUGAUAGUAGUUUAAACAUUGUGUGUGGGAGAGGUCACGGUGCACUACUAGAUAGAUAUUAAAACAAAGCUAACCCCAAACCACAACCAUCAAGGUGGGCUCUAAUGGAGAAAUAAACAUAACCACAAGAUAGAAUAGAAAGCCUGCAAACAGACUUCAGUACUUCUUAUUCCAAAGGGAUUCGAAGCCAAAGCUUAACAAUUUUCAAACCCUCAAACUCUGGGGCAUUCCAUACAUUGCCAGGGUAACAGUGGCUUAUUAUGGCAAAGAUCCUCACUAGAACAGCCUGAGAUGGAAAGGAAGGUGUGUUGAAAUGUGUGUGUGACUUUGAAAAACUGCCUGCACACAUAUACAUAUUCCUGAAAUGCAAAAAAAUGAUAAACAGUUCAAGAUAUUGCUUACUUCUGCAAGAGAAGAAAAAGAAUGAAAUCAGAAAGACUUCAAAGGUUCUUCAAAGACUUAAUGAUGUUCUAUUUAUUUUGCUGAGAGGUGGGUAGAUGAGGGUUCAUUAUAUUCUUCUUUUUUUUUUUUUUUUUUUUGAGAUGGAGUCUCACUCUGUCGUCCAGGCUGGAGUACAGUGGUGCAGUCUUGGCUCGCUGCAACCUCUGCCCCCCAGGUUCAAGUGACUCUCUUGCCUCAACCUCCAGAGUAGCUGGGACUACAGGAACAUGCCACCACACCCAGCUAAUUUUUUGUAUUUUCAGGAGAGACAGGGUUUUACCAUGUUGGCGAGGCUGGUCUCGAACUCUUGACCUCAGGUUAUCUGCCCACCUCAGCCUCUCAAAGUGCUAGGGUUACAGGCAUAACCGUGCCCAGCCCAUUAUAUUAUUCUUUAUUCCUUAUGUAGACAAUCUACACAUUCUUUGUAUGUAUGAAAUAUUUCCUAAUACAUUUUAAAACCCCUGAGAUGUAUUGAUAUCCCUCCCAGGAAGAUGUAUCCACUCCGUCUUCAGUUACAAAUCAAUGAAUUAAUAAAUGAAUAGUAAAACGACAAAAGAUCUUGAAGAAUUAUAACGUGAAGCAUUAUCCAUGAUUCACCAUAUUUUGCAAAAAAAAAAAAAAAUUGGUGAUGAAGAUGAGGUCCAGUGCUUUCAUAAAAACAAGUGAGGAAAUAACUUCUAGUGUCAUCCUAUUCUUCCCCUAGUACUUUAACCUUCCUACCACACUGUACAAAAAAGACAUAGACUUCCGAUACAGCUGCAAUCACCAUUUAGAACUGUAAUGGGAAAAAAACAAUAUUUUUUUUCCUUUUUUUUGAGAUGGAGUCUCACCCUGCCACCCAGGCUAGAGUGCAGUGGCGCAAUCUCAGCUCACUGCAACCUCUGCCUCCCAGGUUCAAGCAAUUCUUCUGCCUCAGCCUCCCAAGCAGCUGGGACUACAGGUGUGUGCCACCACACCCAGCUAAUUUUUGUAUUUUUAGUAGACACAGGGUUUCACCAUGUUGGCCAGGCUGGUUUUGAACUCCUGACCUGAAGUGAUCCACCCACUUUGACUUCCCAAAGUGCUGGGAUUACAGGCGUGAGCCACCAUGCCUGGCCAAAAACAAAAACAAGUUUAAACAAUUUUUAAACUCCCAUAGAAAUAGAAGAUUAUAAAUUCUAUAUGGAAAAAUCAACAAAAAUUUAUUGAAGGACAUUUUUUAAAAGACAUGAAUAACUCCAUGUUCCUCAAUGGAAAUGCUCAUUUUUAUAAAAGGCUCACGUCUCCCCAAAAUAGUACACAAACUGAAUAAAUUGCCAACCAAUAUCUUAAAGGAUUCCUAUAGAAUUUGCAAAAUGGGUUCUAUUUUAAUUAUAUCUGAAAGAAGAGCCAGAGGUGUCUGAAAAUAAGAAAAUUGAAAGGUUAUUGAGAUAUUGGAUAUCAAACUAUUCUAUAAAGUUUUAGUUAUUAAAGCAUUGUGGUAUUAUUGGCAAUAGGAUAGACAGAUUGAUGAAAAAAAAAAAAACCCAGCAAGUCUUGAAACGAACUCAAUAUAUGGUAGAGGUGUCAUUUCAAACCAGCAGAGACAGACUCAAAUGUUCAAUAAAUGAAGGCUGGACCUUUAACUAGUAUGAUGGAUUAUUUGCUUAGGGCCCAGCCCAGUGGCUCACACCUGUAAUCCCAGUAGUUUGGGAGGCUGAGGCAGGAGGAUCAAUUAAGCCCAGGAGUUCAAGACCAGCCCGAGCAACAUAGUGAGAUCCUGUCACUACCAAAAAAAGAAAAAAAAAAAAUUGCCAGACAUGGUGCCACAUGCCUGUGGUUCAAGCUACUCAAGAGACUGAGGUGGGAGGAUCCCUUGAGCCUGGGAAGUUGAGGCUGCAGUAAGUUGCGAGCAUGCCACUGCACUUCAGCCUGGGUGACACAGUGAGACCCUGUCUUAAAAAAAAAAAAAAUUGAACUACUCAGAUCCCUAACACAACACCAUAUACAAAAAUAAAAUUCAAAUGAAUCAAAGAAUCAAUUGCAAAAAAUAAAUUUAUAAAAGUAUUAGAAAAUAUAUAGGAACAUAUCUUCAUACUUAAUAUGCAGAAAGUUUUGCUAAGCAAGAUAUCGAAUCCAUUAGCCAUAAAAUAAAAUAAUGAUAUAUUCAACUACCUACAAAUUUGAGAAGUUCUGUACAUUAAUAACAUCAUUUUCUAAGUUUAAUGGUGAGAGAGACUCAGGGAGAAAUUAUUUGUAAUGUGUAUGAUAAAUAAUCCCAAUUCACCAACUACAAAAAAUUUUAAGAAUUAGUAAAAGAAAAAGAGCCACCUGGGCAGAAUAACCAGGCAAAUGACACCAAAACACAAUUCACAGAAGAAAUACAAAUGUUACACUUAAAAACACAAGUUCAAACAAUGAGAUGACAUUUAAAAAUGUACCAGAUUGGCAAACAUUUUUAAAGAUUGAUAAUAUGACAUGUGGGUUUGGUUAUGAAAGAAAGGAAUCCAUCACAAGGCUGCAUCACAAGCUCUUAGAGUAUGGAAUGGGCACCCUGUUUUGGAGGGCACUGAGCGAUGCCCACUGACAAAGCAGGCGGCCCUCUGAUCCAGUAAUCUCACAGUUAGGAAUGUACCUGACCCAAAUCCUCACACCGUGCACAAGGCUACACAUUCAGGAACAUUUCCCGCAGUAUUGCUAAUAAUAGCUAAAGUAGGAGAAACUUAAAGAUCUCUUAGAAUGGGACUGGCCAAAUAAAUGAUGGUGUAUUACUCCUGUGAAAUAUCAUGCAAUCAUUCAUAAGAAUUAGGUGGUUCUAAACGUACAGAAGCAAAAAGAGACCAAAGGUAUAUUCUUAAAUGCAAGAUAGAGCCUCAAAACAGUACAUUUGUUAUGACCCAUUUUUCAAGUGCCUCUCUCUCUCUCUCUCUCUCUCUAUAUAUAUAUAUAUUUAUAUAUGUACAAUAUUUGUAGGGAGAUAUAUAUAUAUCUCAUAUAUAUAUAUGUCAUGAAACAAAGAACUAGAAUGGUCCUUACCAACCUGUUACUCUAGCAAGAGAAAUCAGAUUGGGAGUGAGGUGGGAAGAUGGGACCUGUGAUGAAGAACUUUUAAUAAUCUAUGUUUCUGUUGCAUGAGACAUUUUAAAAAGAUAUGUUUAAAAAUAGUCAAAGAAUAGUAAGUGCAGAAUUAUUUUAAAUUUUUAAAAAUUAUUUCAUUUAAGUUUUUAAAUCCUUAAAUAUAUUUGCAGCAAUCUUUCCUUUGUACAGUAGUAUAUAGGACCAUAAAAUGACCACGCAAUCUGGACCAUGCAAAGCAAUCUUAGUGAUUAAGAGGGAGAACACACCCUAAAUCUCCUCUGAGAAGGGAACAAGGACUGAGUCUUGAAGAGAAACCUGCAAGUUUUUCUUAAUAUACUUCUGUGUUACUGGAUAGUUGGUAAUGAGCGUUAGAAUUUUUAAAAGAAGAAAAACACAUGCAGAAAAAGAGAAAGUCAUCUGACAAUACCAUUGUUUUUCUAAAGAAAUACUUAAAAUGCAUAUACAUGAAAAUAUUUCAUUGGAUUAUUAUUGAAUUAUCUUUAUUAGAUUUUUUAAAUUAUGAAGCAAUACAUGUUUGCAACAAUGAAACAAGCCAAAGAUGAUGAAGAAAAUGUUACCGUUUCUGGAUUUGUUCCGUUUCACUGCUCUAUGUGAAUAUUUGUGUGUCAAUGCCAUACUGUUUUGUUAAAGCAGUUUUAAAGCUGUAGUAUCCCCUGAGGCAAACUACUCCCCUCACACCAUUCUUUUAUAAGUUGUUCCAGGCUAUUCUCAGACUUUGUUCUUUUCAAUUACCUUUAAGAUAUAUUUAUUUAAAGAUAUAGUAUAGGGAUUCCAUUUAAAAUCACAUUUCAUUUUCAUUUUUAUACAAUUUUGACUUUCUAUUUAGGUAUGUGAUAUGUCUCUCCAAUGUUGUUUUAAUUUCUUUAAUAAAGUUGUAUAAUGUUCUUCAGUAGGUGUUAGAUUCUUCUUGCUAGUUUUAUUUUUAUUCCUAUGAAUAUUGCAGGAUUUUAAAUAACUAAGAUGAGUAGGAGAUUUCCAUUUUCAUUUCUAACUGAAUUUUGAUAAUAGAGAAAGGCUAUUUAUUUUUGUAUAUUUACCUUGUAUCCAGCAAACCUGCUACAUGUUCUACUCAAUACUAAGUUUUAAUUAGUCUCUCAGGUUUUCAAGAUAUGCAAUCAACCAUGAUAAUUUUGUCUGUUUGUAAUAUUUAUAUUUUUAAUUUAAUUUUCAUGUUUUAUCUUAGUAAUAAAAGCACACAGU
rnacentral:lncRNA from 10 species